GAUCCGGAUGCGACCCGGGUCGGUGUUCUCUGGCUCGUGAUGGUAUCUGCAGGGCAGAGUGAUGGAGCCACCGCGAUGUGUCACCACUUUACCCGGAGCUGUCUGCACAACGACUGCUCCAGUGUCAUCCUCUGUGGGAAGGAGGGAGACCAAGAAAAAAGCAGGCAGAGAAGUCACUGAGAGGGCGUAGGUCAGGCUGAAAACCAAAAGGGAUAGUUUCCCAAGGGCCAGAGGCUGAGACCCCUUUGGGAACUGCAGGAAAGGACAGAGCAGGGACACAGGAGAAUCACAGGCUCAUCGGAAAAAGUCCCAUCGCUGAUCUCUCGCACUGCAGGGGAACCACGAGUGUUUGUGGGUUCCGCAGUUCUCCAGUGACGCAGCACACAUUUGACAGAGCAGACUGUGUGUGUGUACUGACACUUCGAAACGUUCUCUGGAGGAGCCGGGGUUCGACCAGCGACCCUCUGCUCUGACGAACCACUCUUCCUCCUGAGCCACAGCAACUCAAGAGCAAGAAAGUGGACCUGUCAACUGCGGUGCAGCUGCCAGAGUUACUGCAGUGCUCCGCGAGAGCUCUUCACAGUUUGACACGUGGGCCCAGGUUCUCCCUGGAGCACUGCAGACCUACCAGCAAGAGAUGCAGCAGAAGAGGGAAACUGUCAGUUCGUAUAUUUUACUGUAUUAAACUUGGUCUUAAGUUAUGGUUACAGUCAAAUGAAACCAAAUAUUCCCUGCCCCGAAUUAGACAAGGCCUUCGCACGACAGAUGCUCCAGUUUAGUGCCCCAAGAGCGGAGCAGAGAGAUUAUCCCUGUACGAAUCUAUUACGGGUUAAGAAAUGAACUGUGGGCAACUUGUUUUUCCAAUAUUGUUAUAGCACUAUGGGAUUUCUCUGCUACUUAGAGUGAGGUUAUCAUCUCAAAUGAAACAAAUAAAAAAUGUAUUUCUCUCAGCAGUGAGGCAGCAAGCUGAAUCUUGAGGAUUUGAAAGUCCAGUGUGUGAAAGUGAAAUCAGGAAAGUAGCCUGCAGCUAAAAAUGGGGAUUAACAAUCGUUGUUUGUCCAUUAGUGCAUAAAGAUGUCCUGAGAUGCAUCAGAAUUCAUCUCUGGAGGUGCAUGAAAGUGGUCGAUGGAUACACUAUGGAAAAUAUCAUAACCGGUUUUCUAAAAGACCUAAAAGGCCUGAAAUGAUCCCACUGGGUAAUAAAUAAGUACAUACAUUAAUGACCAAAGUCUUUUCAUGUAUGUAAGAAGUCAAUAUAUUGCUCAAUUGUCUCUUAUUCUGGGGCUGCAUGGUGGGGCCUUGAUUUGAAUCCCCGUUCGAUCCAGCCAGGGCCUUCCUGUGAGGAGUUUACACGUGGAGUUUGUGGAGUCUGCUUCCUGCCACACUCCAAAGACAUGCAGACUGGGGUUACGUAAAUUGGAGACUCUAAAUUGACCAUGAAAUUUGAGUGUGAAUGGUUAAUUGUAUGCUAAUUGUAUGUUGGCCCUGUGAUAUGCUGGCGACCAGUCUAGGGUGUGAUCCAGGCUGGGAUUGAUUCCAGCCCCCCCGUGAGCCUACAAGGAUAAAGCGGUAUAGAAAAUGGAUAUAUGGAAGGGGUCUCUUAUUCAUUUGCUAAUGUGGGUGUACUUUUACUCAUGAAAACAUUUCUUCGAAAGACAAUCACUAAAAAAAGUGAAACCCACGUCACCGUGGUGUGAAAUGUGUAUAUCUUUAUUUUUCCCCGGAGCCGCCCGGAGCAGAGAUCUGCAGCAGAGAUCUCCUGUGACUCCCAUCAUGGGAUUACAGAGCUGUUUGGAGCAGCCGCGUUUGAUUUAAAGCCUCUGUCACUCUCACAGAAUGCACAUCUAGCAUGUGCGGACGGGGGCUGUGCCACACUUCGGCAUGAAAAAGCUGCUGAGCCGACGGAGAGUGAAUUAAAUGAGUGUGCCUCUUUUCCUCUCCCGGCCUGUUGGUCUAUUGCUCAGCGAAGUACAAGGGAUAAUUACUUAUGAGUGGCCCACUGUUGUUGAUGGAGUAGGGAUGGAGAGAAGGGUCAUGCUGCUGUUUUUUAAACAUAAAUAACCCCCUUCAUCUCUGUCAAGAAAACAAGGUUUGUUCAUUCGAACGACUGAACUGCAUCCAACAACAUCAUUACUGAAAAGUGGCAGACUGAAUCACCCCACGUGUCUGAAGGAGAGGCAUCGCAUGUUGUUGCCCAGACUGUACAACCUGCUCUGCUCCCAGUCGACAACAUGAUCCACAUUCUGCUCUAUGAACUCACGCAGUACCGACCUCCAACCUCGGCAACAUGUUGUUUCAGCCAUCAACAGCCUAUUUCCCUGAGUCCUUGAGGCAAACGGCCGUGGAAAGGUUGAAUAACAACGACAACAAUAACAAUAUCAAUGUUCAUUCAUCUCCCUUUUUCUCACUCACUGGCUGAGUGGAAUAGUGAACAGGUUUGAUAUAAAGAAGUAUCUCCAGCCAUGCUCGCGGCUCUGUGAGGGUAUUCUUGAAGGCAAAGCAUUGUUUUGAGCUACAUGCCAACGACAGCAUGCUAACAUAUUCACCAUCUCACUUCAGGAUAGUACCAUGCAAGCAAUUUACCUGGGGCUGGUGGGAUUGUUGUUAUCUUAGCAAAGCCUUGUACAGAUUUGAUUUCUGACCCGAUGGAGGAGCACAUCCUCUUUGAACCAUGAAUGUCUAUACCAAACGUCGUGUCAAUUCAGGGAUGACAUAUCAAGAUAUUUCCCAGAAUAUGUCAAAGUGGUCAGUGGAUCAUUAUGAAAGUCAUUGGUGCCUGUGUUGGAAGAGGAAAAUUCAGAGGAUCAGUCAGUGGGAUUCAUCCUCUGAGGAUCAUGAAUGUCCCCAAAGGAGAAUCAUGAUAAUGUGUAAUAAUUGGACUGACAAUUCAGUCUGGACCAAGGUGUUGGACCAGCA